AAACAGUUCAUCCCCACACACUUCUGUUCGUACAAUACGCUAAAUCUCUGCCAAGACAGAAAUGGGGGAAAGGGGUGUACUCAUAUCAAGGCCUCAGUCUUUUGAAGAAUACAUUUUGUCUAAAGUCAUGGGUUAAAGCAGAGGACUUGUUCAGUUCAUCUUGGUUCAUGCUCAAACUCUCACUAGAGAAGAGUGGUGAGUCAUAUACAGUGGUCCACGCAUGGGAUGCUAACUUCAGGAGACAGUUGCCCAGCCAUGGAAGGAGGGAAAAGACUUGAUAACAGCUCUCAGGAGGUUUGAGCAUCUCUGUGGUAAUGUCCCUGAAAAUGUGUAAUGUCAACCAGGAGUGAAAAUCUCUGCAGGGAGGAAGGAAAACACAGUGUCUUUGGUUCACAUCACUCCAUGGAGAGGAGGCUCUUGAUGCACAACGAAGCCCUUAUAUAUGUCAGUGACCGAAGGAAAGCUGAAGACUAAAGGGGGUGGAGGAAAAGUGCAUUAAAAUAAUAAAAAAUGUGUUAUGAAAUUUCAGUCAAAUGUAUGUAAAUCUUUAUUAAUUAAAGGACUUCUCAAC
rnacentral:lncRNA from 7 species